UCCGGGGUAGCUCAGCCGGCAGAGCGGGGGACUGUUAAUCCCCUGGUCGCGGGUUCGAGUCCCGCCCCCGGAG
rnacentral:tRNA from 5 species